GUUGAAUGGUUUUUGACCAAAAUGCUGAUAGUGAUGUUGACAAUGAAGUCCAGGCUGAGGUCUCAGAUGGGAAUGAGGAACUUCUUGGAAAGUGGAGCAAAGGUGACUCUUGCUAUGCUUUAGCAAAGAGACUGGCAGCAUUUCCCCCCUGCCCUAGGGAUCUGUGGAACUUUGAACUUGAGAGAGAUGAUUUAGGGUAUCUGGCAGAAGAAAUUUCUAAGCAGCAAAGUAUUCA
rnacentral:lncRNA from 1 species